GUUGUGCCUCCUCCUCCAGGAGGCCCUCCCUGAUCAGCCUCCCCUCUAUUAGGGCUGAUUAUUCUGGUUCCUAACACUUGGGUGUUUCAUUGUCCUUAAUGUGUGCAUCUCUGCGUUGUAGGUAGACCUUGUCUUUCAAGCAGGCUGGAGCACAGAGGCUGUGUGGGUUCCUCCCCGGUCUGGGCCUUGCUCUCCUCUCUCGGCUGCCGCGGGCGGGGACCGAAGGUGCAGCUCGGCCUGGCGAUGCGGGGACAUGAGUAAAGGUCUGGAGGACACGGAGC
rnacentral:lncRNA from 1 species